rnacentral:rRNA from 1 species
GACGAACGCUGGCGGCGUGCUUAACACAUGCAAGUCGAACGGAAAGGCCCUGCUUUUGUGGGGUGCUCGAGUGGCGAACGGGUGAGUAACACGUGAGUAACCUGCCCUUGACUUUGGGAUAACUUCAGGAAACUGGGGCUAAUACCGGAUAGGAGCUCCUGCUGCAUGGUGGGGGUUGGAAAGUUUCGGCGGUUGGGGAUGGACUCGCGGCUUAUCAGCUUGUUGGUGGGGUAGUGGCUUACCAAGGCUUUGACGGGUAGCCGGCCUGAGAGGGUGACCGGCCACAUUGGGACUGAGAUACUGCCCAGACUCCUACGGGAGGCAGCAGUGGGGAAUAUUGCACAAUGGGCGGAACCCUGAUGCAGCAACGCCGCGUGCGGGAUGACGGCCUUCGGGUUGUAAACCGCUUUCGCCUGUGACGAAGCGUGAGUGACGGUAAUGGGUAAAGAAGCACCGGCUAACUACGUG